rnacentral:snoRNA from 1 species
GGUCUGUGAUGGCUGUUGGCAUGUAUUAGCUGAGCAUAAAUGUGAAGAUGAUCAGUUUGGCUCUAGAAUUACACUGAGACCCG